GCUUCAGGGAAAUUUUCAACUUUUCCCUGCUACAGACAAGGACUUGAUGGACAUGUUAUACAGAAUGCCAGAGCUGUACUUGGUGGUUUCUUGUGCCCCUGUAUUCAGGCAUUUGUUAAGGACCAGCUAUAUAAAGAUAAAAUGCAUGCUGUCAAGCACUACAACACAGCUCAGGGUGAUGGAGGUUCUGGUGGGGACAGGAGCAAUGGUCUGGCUGUUUUGAAGAAGAAGCUAGCAUGGAUUCAAUUCUGCAAAAAAUAAUUCAUAGCAAUUGUCCAUUAAAUGUCAUUGGACAGUCAGAUGGCAUUUAGACAUGAUGGAAUCUGUGAGUGCACGACAGGAUGUCGUAAACUACAUUUUGUUUUAGUUUUACUGUUAAUCAAGGACCUCGAAGUAUCAUGUAGUCUUGACAUUGGAAGUUAGUUGUAGACACAGGUGUUGUAUGAGAGUGCAGCUCAGAGGCAAAGUCUGACCCUGUAUCUCUACCUAUGGGCAGUUGUUCUUUGGAUUCACUUUUCAUGAAUUAGUAGUCACAGAAACCCACCCCGUGUACAUGAGAUGUGCAUACUAGGGGAACAAUGAGCCCACC
rnacentral:lncRNA from 1 species